rnacentral:rRNA from 1 species
UACGGAGGAUCCAAGCGUUAUCCGGAUUUAUUGGGUUUAAAGGGUGCGUAGGCGGCUUGUUAAGUCAGGGGUGAAAUCCUGGAGCUCAACUCCAGAACUGCCUUUGAUACUGGCGAGCUUGAGUUCGGGAGAGGUGAGUGGAACUGCGAGUGUAGAGGUGAAAUUCGUAGAUAUUCGCAAGAACACCAGUGGCGAAGGCGGCUUACUGGUCCGGUUCUGACGCUGAGGAGCGAAAGCGUGGGGAGCAAACAGG